CUUUUUGUAUAAAAUUAAAUUAAUUAAUAAAUUUUUAUAUAAAACAAUCAAAAUAGAAAAACAUUUUCGCAAAUUCUUCCACUAACUCCAUUCUUCUUCCUUUCAGUAUGAUAUUCAUCUACAUGUAGUGUACCUUGUAUCACAAUAACCACCAUAACGAACGUUUGAGCAAUAGUCAAAACGGUAUCUGAUGAGCCCGGCAGUUGUUCCGCUCUCAUUUCUAGUCGAUUGCCGUAUUACGUUAAUGUGGAUCAGUCACGUUGCAGGAUUAGACGAUGCACGAUGUAAAUUCAAGCUAAUCAAAACAAUGUGUUAAAGAUUACCAAAUUUGGUGUAUUGCUACAAUCGAGAUCCAGUGUAUCAAUACCAAGAAGGUUAACUGAUAAACUUAAGCGUAAUGUCAAAAAAUACAAGCAAGCAAUUGUGAUAAGCACAGUUUGGUGUUGUGUUUCACAGUUCGCUGUUGUGAAUUCUCUAGUUACACAUAAGUCAAGUCGUUGAGGCAUUGACUACAAAACAUUAUAAACUUGUUAGCUUGAUGUCAAGGAAGCCACAACAUUAAGUGACUUUCGUUGCACUUUGGUUGAUCAACAUGUGUUUUAUGGAGUUGAUAGUAGAUCUAACAAUUUCAGACCCAUUAUCAACUAG